rnacentral:rRNA from 1 species
GGAGUGGCAGACGGGUGAGUAACGCGUGGGAAUCUACCCAACCCUGCGGAAUAGCUCUGGGAAACUGGAAUUAAUACCGCAUACGCCCUACGGGGGAAAGAUUUAUCGGGGAUGGAUGAGCCCGCGUUGGAUUAGCUAGUUGGUGGGGUAAAGGCCUACCAAGGCGACGAUCCAUAGCUGGUCUGAGAGGAUGAUCAGCCACAUUGGGACUGAGACACGGCCCAAACUCCUACGGGAGGCAGCAGUGGGGAAUAUUGGACAAUGGGCGCAAGCCUGAUCCAGCCAUGCCGCGUGAGUGAUGAAGGCCUUAGGGUUGUAAAGCUCUUUCACCGGUGAAGAUAAUGACGGUAACCGGAGAAGAAGCCCCGGCUAACUUCGUGCCAGCAGCCGCGGUAAUACGAAGGGGGCUAGCGUUGUUCGGAAUUACUGGGCGUAAAGCGCACGUAGACGGAUAUUUAAGUCAGGGGUGAAAUCCCAGAGCUCAACUCUGGAACUGCCUUUGAUACUGGGUAUCUUGAGUAUGGAAGAGGUAAGUGGAAUUGCGAGUGUAGAGGUGAAAUUCGUAGAUAUUCGCAGGAACACCAGUGGCGAAGG